rnacentral:rRNA from 1 species
AUUGAACGCUGGCGGCAUGCCUUACACAUGCAAGUCGAACGGUAACGGGCCUUCGGGUGCCGACGAGUGGCGAACGGGUGAGUAAUGCAUCGGAACGUACCUUUCAGUGGGGGAUAACGUAGCGAAAGUUACGCUAAUACCGCAUAUUCUGUGAGCAGGAAAGCAGGGGGAUCGCAAGACCUUGCGCUGAUUGAGCGGCCGAUGUCAGAUUAGCUAGUUGGUGAGGUAAAGGCUCACCAAGGCGACGAUCUGUAGCGGGUCUGAGAGGAUGAUCCGCCACACUGGAACUGAGACACGGUCCAGACUCCUACGGGAGGCAGCAGUGGGGAAUUUUGGACAAUGGGGGCAACCCUGAUCCAGCCAUGCCGCGUGAGUGAAGAAGGCCUCGG